rnacentral:rRNA from 1 species
UACAGAGGUGGCAAGCGUUGUUCGGAAUUACUGGGCGUAAAGGGCGCGUAGGCGGUUCGAUAAGUCCCGUGUGAAAUCCCUCGGCUCAACUGAGGAAUGGCACGGGAAACUGACGGGCUUGAGUUCGGGAGAGGGAAGCGGAAUCCCGGGUGUAGCGGUGAAAUGCGUAGAUAUCCGGAGGAACACCGGUGGCGAAGGCGGCUUCCUGGACCGACACUGACGCUGAGGCGCGAAAGCUAGGGGAGCAAACGGG